rnacentral:rRNA from 1 species
UACGUAGGGUGCGAGCGUUAAUCGGAAUUACUGGGCGUAAAGCGUGCGCAGGCGGUUCGCUGUGUCCGAUGUGAAAGCCCCGGGCUUAACCUGGGAAUGGCAUUGGAAACUGGCGGGCUUGAGUGCGGCAGAGGGGGGUGGAAUUCCGCGUGUAGCAGUGAAAUGCGUAGAGAUGCGGAGGAACACCAGUGGCGAAGGCGACUCUUUGGCCUGUAACUGACGCUGAGGCGCGAAAGCGUGGGGAGCAAACAGG